UAGUCCUGGCCGUAAACGAUGGAUACUAGGUGUAGAGGGUAUCGACUCCUCCUGUGCCGGAGUUAACACAAUAAGUAUCCCGCCUGGGGAGUACGAUCGCAAGGUUGAAACUCAAAGGAAUUGACGGGGGCCCGCACAAGCGGUGGAGUAUGUGGUUUAAUUCGACGCAACGCGAAGAACCUUACCAAGGCUUGACAUUGAGUGACAGGGAUAGAGAUAUCCAAUUCUUCUUCGGAAGACACGAAAAC
rnacentral:rRNA from 1 species